rnacentral:rRNA from 1 species
AUUGAACGCUGGCGGCAGGCCUAACACAUGCAAGUCGGACGGUAGCACAGAGGAGCUUGCUCCUCGGGUGACGAGUGGCGGACGGGUGAGUAAUGUCUGGGGAUCUGCCCGAUAGAGGGGGAUAACCACUGGAAACGGUGGCUAAUACCGCAUAACGUCGCAAGACCAAAGAGGGGGACCUUCGGGCCUCUCACUAUCGGAUGAACCCAGAUGGGAUUAGCUAGUAGGCGGGGUAAUGGCCCACCUAGGCGACGACCCAUAGCUGGUCUGAGGGGAUGACCAGCCACACUGGAACUGAGACACGGUCCAGACUCCUACGGGAGGCAGCAGUGGGGAAUAUUGCACAAUGGGCGCAAGCCUGAUGCAGCCAUGCCGCGUGUAUGAAGAAGGCCUUCGGGUUGUAAAGUACUUUCAGCGGGGAGGAAGGCGGUGAGGUUAAUAACCUCACCGAUUGACGUUACCCGCAGAAGGAGCACCGGCUAACUCCGUGCCAGCAGCCGCCGUAA